rnacentral:rRNA from 1 species
UACGUAGGGGGCAAGCGUUGUCCGGAAUCAUUGGGCGUAAAGCGCGUGUAGGCGGCUUGGUAAGUCCGCUCUGAAAGCCCGGAGCUCAACUCCGGAAUUGCCAUUGAAACUGUUUAGCUCGAGUACGAGAGAGGUGAGUGGAAUUCCCAGUGUAGAGGUGAAAUUCGUAGAUAUUGGGAAGAACACCGGUGGCGAAGGCGGCUCACUGGCUCGUAACUGACGCUCAAGCACGACAGCGUGGGGAUCAAACAGG